rnacentral:ncRNA from 12 species
GGGUGUUGAGGUCGGAAAUGGCUCCCGACACUCCCUUGUAUGAGGAUAGAACGGGCAUCUAUCACCUAUAUGGGUAAUGCGUGAGUGCCGACACGCCGCAAGGGAACCUGAGAUGUAGGAUACGCCGCCCUACCAACAUCC